rnacentral:lncRNA from 13 species
GGAGAAGAGGUUCCAUCAAGCUGCAUCCACCAGCACCCACCCCUCGGUCUCCCUGGGACGUCUGAUCGGGGGUACAAGUGCAGGCUUCUUACAUGGACAUAUUUUGCUGUGGUGAAAUCUGGGCUUUGAGUGUACCCAUCACCCGAACACUGAACACUACACUCAACAGGGCUGUGUGUGGCAUCGGCCAGACUAAACGCUGCAUGAAUGUCGAGUCACAAAUAGACAGGCGUGGAUGCAGGAAGGAAAAUGAAAGAACGAAGGAAUGACUGAAUUUCAUGGUGAUGACUCUAGUAGAGUGAUACGAGGACGUCAGGGAAAAGGAGUGGAGAGCAUGAGAGAUACUCCUUUUCCCAUCUGGUCAUCCUCAAAAAGUUUGAAACUUCUUGCUGGGUCUUCCUGGCACCGAGGAGACGCGGCAGUGAAUGGGUAGAGUGCUCACCUGCCUGUGGGCGCAGCAGCCGGAGGGCCGCUCUGAGCAGAACCAAGAGCUGCCCGAGCACCUUGAUUCAACUGACUCUUUCUAUCCACCAGGGCGUGGGAGUUUCCUUCCUCUGGACUACCAGUUUUUUGUUUUAAGAGACAAAUAGAAAUC